UACGAAGGGUGCAAGCGUUGUUCGGAAUCAUUGGGCGUAAAGCGCGCGCAGGCGGAUUGAUAAGUCAGGUGUGAAAUCUCGAGGCUCAACCUCGAAACUGCGCCUGAAACUAUUAGUCUAGAAUGUCGGAGGGGGCAGGGGAAUUUCACGUGUAGGGGUAAAAUCCGUAGAGAUGUGAAGGAACACCGGGGGCGAAGGCGCCUGCCUGGACGACUAUUGACGCUGAGGCGCGAAAGCGUGGGGAGCAAACAGG
rnacentral:rRNA from 1 species